GCUAGUCGCACGGGUCAGACCCGUGGCGAACAGCUCAGUAACACGUGGCCAAACUACCCUGUGGACGAGGAUAAUCUCGGGAAACUGAGGUCAAUCCUUGAUAGGGCUUCCAUCCUGGAGUGGAGGAAGUCCAAAAGUUGCUCUGCAGCACCACAGGAUGUGGCUGCGGCCGAUUAGGUAGACGGUGGGGUAACGGCCCACCGUGCCAGUAAUCGGUACGGGUGAUGAGAGUCAGAGCCCGGAGACGGUAUCUGAGACAAGAUACCGGGCCCUACGGGGCGCAGCAGGCGCGAAACCUUUACACUGCACGACAGUGCGAUAGGGGGAUUCCGAGUGCGAGGGCAUACAGUCCUCGCUUUUCUGGACCGUAAGGAGGUCCAAGAAUAAGGGCUGGGCAAGACCGGUGCCAGCCGCCGCGGU
rnacentral:rRNA from 1 species